rnacentral:rRNA from 1 species
AUUGAACGCUGGCGGCAGGCUUAAAACAUGCAAGUCGAGCGAGCGGCGGACGGGAGAGUAAUGUGUGGGAAAGUGACUGAUGGAGGGGGAGAACUACUGGACACGGUAGCUAAUAACGCAUACCAUAAGAUGUGCCCAGAUUGGAUCAGCUAGUAGGUGGGGUAAUGGCCCACCUAUGCGACGAUCCCUAGCUGGUCUGUGAGGAUGACCAGCCACACUGGAACUGAGACACGGUCAAGCCUCCUACGGGAGGCAGCAGUGGGGAAUAUUGCACAAUGGGCGCAAGCCUGAUGCAGCCAUGCCGCGUGUGUGAAGAAGGCUUUCGGGUUGUAAAGCACUUUCAGCGAGGAGGCGUUACUCGCAGAAGAAGCACCGGCUAACUCCGUGCCAGCAGCCGCGGUAAUAC